rnacentral:rRNA from 1 species
UGGGGAAUAUUGGACAAUGGGCGAAAGCCUGAUCCAGCCAUGCCGCGUGUGUGAAGAAGGUCUUCGGAUUGUAAAGCACUUUAAGUUGGGAGGAAGGGCAGUAAGCGAAUACCUUGCUGUUUUGACGUUACCGACAGAAUAAGCACCGGCUAACUCUGUGCCAGCAGCCGCGGCAAUACAGAGGGUGCAAGCGUUAAUCGGAAUUACUGGGCGUAAAGCGCGCGUAGGUGGUUCGUUAAGUUGAAUGUGAAAGCCCCGGGCUCAACCUGGGAACUGCAUCCAAAACUGGCGAGCUAGAGUAGGGCAGAGGGUGGUGGGAUUUCCUGUGUAGCGGUGAAAUGCGUAGAUAUAGGAAGGAACACCAGUGGCGAAGGCGACCACCUGAGCUCAUACUGUCACUGAGGUGCGAAAGCGUGGGGAGCAAACAGG